CGUUUGUUGAGUCAUUCAGCAAACCCGGAGGCUUAACCUGGGCACAGGGUCUCGGAAAUGACUCCUGCCGAGUCCCUGCCAUCUGAGGGCGAAUGGGCUGAAUUCCUGGAGAGACAGAUGGUCAGAGAAGAACUGGGAAAGCUCAUGAUAUAGUUAGGCCUGCUAGGGAAUCCAGGAAGGCCUCCCAGGAGAGUUGCUUUUGUGCUAAACCUUGACGGAUUCCGGCAACAAGAAAUGAGGGAGGAGGGUGCCUCAGCUUGAGGAAACCUUUUUGAGCAAGGCAUGGCGGGCAAAGAAGGAACUGCAAUAGUAGUGAGUCCCAGCCUGAGACCUGUUUUCUGUUUUGAUGCUAUGCAAGAAUCUGCACAAAAUGAAACUUGUAUUAAAUAAACUUUAUCAUGUAAAGUCUGUA